UAUACAUAUGUGCAUACAAUUUUACAUUUACUCCCAAGGUGCUAAAAGGUUUAAAACAGGAAACUGAUAUCUUGAUGUACAUGAUGGAUCUCACUUCCCGUCACAUAAACCGUGACCAAAAAAUUAUCAUUAGACUCUAAGCACGUAUUCGCUGAUAUCCCUCAAACAAACGGCUAGAACAUAUGCUACUGUUCAUCAAACUCUUUGGUAAAAGUAAAACGUCGGUGCCCGAUGCCUUUUGCCGCAAUUGGGGUAUCUGCCUAACGAGGGAAAGUGCAGACUACAACACCAGCAAAAUUUUCUUCUUGAUUGUUGGUAUAUAUUUUCGUCGUUCGCAUUUCACAUAAUAUUUUAAUUUUAUUACACACUGUCUUCGUUUUUAUCCAACAACAAAACUAAUAUAAUUUUUUUUCCCAAAACAUCGCCUCACCGGUGUCGUUAUUGUUGCGUGCCAAAAAAUCACAAAUAUUCUUUUCACUCUUUGUUUUUGCUUUUGAAUUUCUUUAUUUAAAAUGACGUACUUUUCCGCCGAAUGUAUUAAUCAACUGAGUCAAUUAAUGUAAAACAAAGGUCAUUUAAACGUAUUAUUACUGUGAAAAAAGAAAAUUCCUGCAACUUGCUGAAAAUUCUUGAAGAGUUCGUAAGCAGAGAGCAAUGCCCUUUUCAUAUAGGUGACCCGUUCGAUGUAAACGUACUGAAAACUGCAACUCUCAUAUAAUUUUUUCUUUCUUUUCAGUUAAAAUGCAAUUUUUAUUUUUAUGCGCUCGACAUCACGCACACAUCUCACACUUGUUGACACUAACGGAAUUUAUCGACGACUGGCCAAAGCAAUAGACGAGCUCCCAAUUCGCCCCACAAAUAGCCCCAAAAUAACAGCAAGUUUUCGCACAACAACAAAGUGAUAAGCGACGGAACGGGUGGAAAUAAAAACGACAGCUGUGUGUAGCCUUACCAGAAGCGUUUAAAAUGUGUAUUCCAAUGCUUUCACAUUUUGGCAUAUAUGAUAUUUCAGAAACAGAUAAGCACAUUGUGUCAUGCAUCACAGUUUAUUGUUAUUUAAACUUCUGUAAUGACAUGUAAUCUGGCAAGUCUAUAAGAAACAGGAGUAAUCGAAACGGUACAGAGUGGUAUAAAGCAAGCUAAUACUAACACGUCGCCUGCACUAUAAUAUCAUAUAUAUAUUUAUAUGAUAAUAUUGUACUUUGUGCGUAUACUUUGGAUGUGAAAACACUUGUGAUUUUUUGGCAAGAUCGCACGGGAAAUUCUAUAAAGUGUACCCUGAUUUGAUUAUUGAGUAAAGACUCCUGAUCAACCGUUAACGGAA